GUUGGAGAGGGAAGAUAAUGUACCGGCGCCACCGGUACAUUUGGACAGCUGUUUGAACAGCUUGAUAGAAUGAUCAAGAACUUGUUUGACUGAAGAGAUAGAAUGAAAAGGGAAGACCCAAAAGUGUUUUAUAACAGAAUGCGCAAGAUGGUUUGCAUCAUGGUUAUGAAGGAAAAGCUGACAGUAUUUUUGAGACAGCAAGAAAAACAUCAUUGCACACCACCAACUAAUAAGACUCCAAAGGAAUAACAAAGAUUAGAGUUCAAAGAAUGCUGGCACUUGGAUAAAGAUAAUCAGGCAUGGACUUUCAACUCCCAUGGAUCUUCAGCACCUUUAGGUUACAGUUUUAUAUUUCACUAGAAGAGACUCAUAAAUAAACAAAGGACAGUCAGUUACUACAAAAGAGAAGCAUCGGAGAUUACUGAUAUUUUGUUCAGCAUUAUUUCAUCUUAAAAGAUGUAAACUAUUAAAAUUUUGUUUACAUCUAUCAAUUAAUGAUUUUGAUACAUGUACCAGUAAUUAAUAAUUUUGAUGUGGGAUAAACUGGUAAAAUUGAAUGGAAAAGAAGCAGAUGACUUGGUAAU